CUUAGUACGGCGAGUGAAGCGGCAAAAGCUCAAAUUUGAAAUCUAGCACUUUCAGUGUUCGAGUUGUAAUUUGAAGAAGGUAACUUUGGAAUUGGCUCUUGUCUAUGUUCCUUGGAACAGGACGUCACAGAGGGUGAGAAUCCCGUGCGAUGAGAUGUCCAAUUCUAUGUAAAGUGCUUUCGAAGAGUCGAGUUGUUUGGGAAUGCAGCUCUAAGUGGGUGGUAAAUUCCAUCUAAAGCUAAAUAUUGGCGAGAGACCGAUAGCGAACAAGUACAGUGAUGGAAAGAUGAAAAGAACUUUGAAAAGAGAGUGAAAAAGUACGUGAAAUUGUUGAAAGGGAAGGGCUUGAGAUCAGACUUGGUAUUUUGUGUUCCUUAUCCUUCUUGGAUUAGGUUCCUCACAGCUUACCGGGCCAGCAUCGGUUUGGAUGGCAGGAUAAUGACAUUGGAAUGUAGCUUUGCUUCGGUGAAGUGUUAUAGACUUUGUUGAUACUGCCUAUCUAGACCGAGGACUGCGUCUUUGACUAGGAUGCUGGCGUAAUGAUCUUAAGCCGCCCG
rnacentral:rRNA from 1 species